rnacentral:rRNA from 14 species
GGGAAGUCCUCGAUGUUGCACCC